rnacentral:tRNA from 1 species
AAAUAAGAAGCAAAAGUGCAUUUAGUUUCGACCUAAAAAUUUGAUUUUUCCAAAAAAAUCCUUAUUUU